rnacentral:rRNA from 1 species
UACGAAGGGGGCUAGCGUUGUUCGGAUUUACUGGGCGUAAAGCGCACGUAGGCGGGUCGUUAAGUCAGGGGGGAAAUCCCGGAGCUCAACUCCGGAACUGCCUUUGAUACUGGCGACCUUGAGGCUGGAAGAGGUUAGUGGAAUUCCCAGUGUAGAGGUGAAAUUCGUAGAUAUUGGGAAGAACACCAGUGGCGAAGGCGGCUAACUGGUCCAGAUCUGACGCUGAGGUGCGAAAGCGUGGGGAGCAAACAGG